AUUUAUAUAGUUUAUUAAAACAUUUUAUUUUCAUUAAAAAAAUGGUUCAUAACCUAUAAAUU
rnacentral:tRNA from 1 species